UACGGAGGGUGCGAGCGUUGUCCGGAAUCACUGGGCGUAAAGGGCGCGUAGGUGGCGCGACAAGUCAACGGUGAAAGCCCGGGGCUCAACCCCGGGUCGGCCGUCGAUACUGUUGGGCUUGAGCACUGUAGAGGCAGGUGGAAUUCCGGGUGUAGCGGUGGAAUGCGUAGAGAUCCGGAAGAACACCGGUGGCGAAGGCGGCCUGCUGGGCAGUAGCUGACACUGAGGCGCGACAGCGUGGGGAGCAAACAGG
rnacentral:rRNA from 1 species